rnacentral:tmRNA from 1 species
GACCUUUUGCCAUGAGAAUUUACCCCUAUAUCUAGGGGUGCCGGUUCGCCGGCUAUGGAAAUAAAUGGCCGUCGUAACAAGUCACUCGGACCCGGGGGAGCACCCGGCGCCUCCACCAAAGCCAGGAUUUCUGCCACCAGUUGGCGGAUUUUGGUGGGGGCGAACAGGAUCGACGAGGCGUAAAGGGCUCGCUUUUUCUCGGUAUGGUUCCGCCGUUAUCGGGCUAUCCAAUAGUUGCAAGCGACAACUAUGCUCCGGUUGCUCAGGCUGCGUAACGCAGUUUGAAAAACCAGGUCUAAAGCCACUAGAUCUAAAGCCUGGCGGAUUAAGCCCCUCUAGGCGGGGUUCGGAGGCAUCUGGCAACAGAAGCCUCCACU